ensembl:lncRNA
AAACUUAAUUUGUAUACUUUAUUCUUUGAGAGCAAAUGAUAAUCUAUUUACCUGCAAUGUACCACUACAUGUAACCAUUAUUGGCGGUAGAAAUACACCUGAACCUUAACUUAAAAUCCCAAAGUUACAGUGGUGAUACAAAUUCAGCAAGUACUUUGCCCAAGUGAGACCAUUUAAUAUGGAAGCUCAUUUCAUUUUUUGUAAAGUCAAAAACUAUUUUACUCAUCUUAAAAAACUAUAACCUCAAUUUGUAGCAGAAACAUGUUUCCAAGUCAUCAUGCAAAGGCCCCUUUACUAGACAAGUGUGAUUUUAAAAUAAAGUAUCUAGAAACCAGCAGCAGUUAGUAACUAACUAGCAGUUAGUGAAAACAUCUUAGUCAUACAAAUACUGAAAACUCAUAAAUACAUAUGUAUAUACUUUCCAACUGCUUGUGCAGUUUAAAGACUCCCGCAGUCGAUCAGACUUCUUGUUUCUUCACUGGUUGUGUUUGUAGACCUAAAAAUCACUUACCUUUUCGUGCUGCGGAACAAAAGCUAACACAAAGAAAAUGAAACCAAAUUCCUGUACAAAUGCUCUUAUUCUGGAGGGCUACACUUCUGCUUAGCUUGACCAGGGCAGAACUCCAUUGGAGUUACCAAAUUCAAUGCACAACUAAAGAAAUAAUUUAAUAAUUUAAAUAAAAACGAAUAAAAAAAAAAGAAAGAAAACAAGGCACAUGUAUAGUAUUUUCCCCAAACAGCUCAGCAGGAAAUAAAAUGAGGAAAAAGAGCAACUAACUAACAUCAAAUUAAGCCAAUAUCAUUAAAAAACAUGAUAUAGGGCCUUAAAACUUUCAACAUUUUAAAACUAACUGUUCAGAAAUAGCAUCAUUAUAUUCAAAAAGGUCCCAUUUUUUUCUUUUUUUUAAUAUCAAAAUCCAAUUUACAUUUUGUUUACAUUACAUCACACUUUCAGUGAAUUUGCAAGGAUACGGAGCAAAGGCACUUACAUUCCCCAAUAAGUCACUUUCUGAAGUAUACUGAAAAAGAAUACACUUCAAGAGCAAGACAAUGGUUUCAAAAGAUGCUGGUACAGUUUCCUGCACAGCCUGUCAUUCAAAUUCCUGCUGUGACUCUGAAUCCAAAAGUUUUACAUUCACUGGUUACGUUUGAAAAUAAGGCAUUUUCUAAAUUGUUACGGAGUGAAAUUGAAAUGACAUUAUUAAAAGAAUAACCCCCAGAAAGACAAGGUGUCAACACAAGUUUCAGAUUUUUUUUGGGAGCAAAUUAAAAAUUUCACCAAUGGCGAUAAUUUCACAAAAAUGUGUUAUGUUGUCUGCAUGCAACUUUGUUCUCGUUAAAAACCAUACAAAAGCACCAUGUUAUUGCGCUGUAUUCAUACUGAUUUGCAUUUAAGACACCCGAUGACACACUGCAGCAUCAAACCUCAACAUACCUGUAAUUUCCUGAUUUCCAUUAACUCACAUUUUAAAAACUGGUGGUAUAAUCGUGUUAUAUCAUGUGUGCUGGGAAAGCUGUGGCAAUGUAAUUUACACUUGUUUUUUUUUAAAAAUAAUUGUAAGUUAUAAUAAAAAUAACUGAGUAAAAGCUAAACCAGUCAUUGCUAUUUUCCCAACCUUGCAUGAAAAAAACAAACAAAAAAAAAAAAACCCCUAAAAGCUUCAACAAAUUGCUGUCCGUCCAUUUUGACAAACAUGCAAAACAAUAAAAAUGACAGGUGGCAGAAUGUUUUACACUGUACCGACAAAUUAAAACGCACUUUGUUCAUGGUUUAGUUAUUUAGAUCUAUCAUGGAAAAGCCUUCAAAAUUCAAAUACAUAAAACAUGUAACAUCUAAAGUGAAAGGCAUGUAACAAACUGGUUCAUACUUCCCAAUUAAGGAAUAAACACUUUCACUCAAGCUUCAACUAUGAAGGCUGCUUGAAUUAAAAUCUGAUUUUAAAUCAUUAUAUGACAGAAGUGAAAGACAAUUUGUUCAUGCGGUGUUUCAGUGAUAAUUAUUUAGCGGAAUUACAAAAUAACCCACCAUCAAAAACCAUUCCAAACAGCAGGGUCUUCUCUUUUUUGGUUUAGCAUGUUGACUAUGUAAUGCAACAUAAGAUAAAAACAAACCAAAGUGACUACAUCCUUGCCAUUUACCA